rnacentral:rRNA from 1 species
UACGUAGGGUGCGAGCGUUAAUCGGAAUUACUGGGCGUAAGCGUGCGCAGGCGGUUUGUUAAGACAGAUGUGAAAUCCCCGGGCUUAACCUGGGAACUGCAUUUGUGACUGGCAAGCUAGAGUAUGGGCAGAGGGGGGUAGAAUUCCACGUGUAGCAGUGAAAUGCGUAGAGAUGUGGAGGAAUACCGAUGGCGAAGGCCAGCCCCCUGGGCCAAUACUGACGCUCAUGCACGAAAGCGUGGGGAGCAAACAGG